UCAGAAAAAUUAUCUUUAGCACGCAGGGAUUCAGAGAGAGAGAGGGAGAGAGAGUGGAAAGACCAGAUAAAAAGGAUAUAUUUUUCACAGUGAUAUAGCAAACAGCACCAAUUUAUUGUUCGCUGAUCAUGUCGGACAGUCAAGCACAGGAAACUGCCACAGCGGCGCCCACAGACUCCACAGUCGCUGCCCCUGCUGGGUGCCAAGCGAUUAAAACCGAAAUGGAGAAAUGCAUUAAGGACAAAGGGGAAGAGAGCUGUAAAGAUUUAAUCGAGGCAUACAAGGCCUGUUUAAAAUCCCUGGGAGAGAAAGCAUAAAACUCGGGCUGUAUGGAUCACUCUCUGGGUCCCCCUGCUCUGAAACCUCCACCUUCCCAUCAUUCCUCAGCUACUUUACUGCACUGGAUCGGACCAUCCCAUGUUGUGUAAAGAAACGGGGGGGGGGGGGGGGGGGGAGUACAUCUGUCUACCCGUCUACCCCCCCCCCCCACUCCAGCUUUGCUUGGUUUCACCCGUACACAGAAUGUUCAGUUGAUCUCUGUAUAAAUAUAUACAUAGUUUGAGAGAAUGUGAAGUUCUAAUAAACUUGAUAUGAAUUUUA